UACGGGGGGGGCAAGCGUUGUUCGGAAUUACUGGGCGUAAAGGGCUUGUAGGUGGCCAACUAAGUCAGACGUGAAAUCCCUCAGCUUAACUGGGGAACUGCUUCUGAUACUGGAUGGCUUGAGUUUGGGAGAGGGAUGCGGAAUUCCAGGUGUAGCGGUGAAAUGCGUAGAUAUCUGGAAGAACACCAAUGGCGAAGGCACCAUCCUGGGAAGCAUCUGACGCUCAGGUGCGAAAGCUAGGGGAGCGAACGGG
rnacentral:rRNA from 1 species